GGCCGAGCGCCGGCGCGGGAGGAGCAGCUCCUGCGGGUCCCGGGCAGCCCCGCCCGCCUGACGGCUCCUGCCCGGCGCCGCGCGUUAAUGGGCGCAGCCGCGACGCGCGCUCCUCCGCCUGGGAAACGUAACCGCGCAGGCCAAAAACUACAAAGGAAGGAGAUUCAAGGGCAGGGAGCACAUCCCCAGCCAGCAUCCCAGUGAGGACCCCAGGCCAAACUACCGCAGAAAUCCGAAGCCCAGCAUUGACUUGGGGCACACCAUUCAUUUUUUUUAAAAAAGAUUUGUUGCUUUAUUAGAAAAUCCUUUGAGAAAACAGCCUCCACUGUUUCCAUUGCAGAUUCGCUAAUAUGGUACGUUCAGUAACUUUGAAUGAAUGAUGAGAAGUUAUUGGGUGGUAGAGGGGGUUAUGUAAUCAACGAAUAUUUAUCGAGAGCGUACCAUGUGUCAGGCAUUGUUUCUGUCACUGGGAUGCCCUAACAAAGGAAAGAGAGACUCUGCACCCACUCCCCCCGCCCCGCAUAUUUAAUGUUGUCAAUUAAAGCUUCUUACCUAAGAGGCCUAUCAUUUGUGAGCACCCAUCAUAGUGGAAAUCUUAAUGCCGUAGUGUCUAUUCAACAAUAAAAACAUCUUUUC
rnacentral:lncRNA from 10 species